GAUGAAGAACGCAGCGAAAUGCGAUACUUGGUGUGAAUUGCAGAAUCCCGUGAACCAUCGAGUUUUUGAACGCAAGUUGCGCCCGAAGCCGUUAGGCUGAGGGCACGCCUGCCUGGGUGUCACACAUCGUUGCCCCAAUGCCAAUCGCCUCACUUUGUAGGUAUUUGCUUGGGGUGAAUGUUGGCCUCCCGUGCGCCUAGUCGCGCGGUUGGCAUAAAAGCCAAGUCCUCGGCGACGCACGCCACGACAAUCGGUGGUUGCGAAACCUCGGUUGCCCGUCGUGUGCGGUCGUCGCGCAUCGAGGGCUCGAAAAAAUUGCCGGGCUCCGGCUCGGCUUUCAACGCGACCCCAGGUCAGGCGGGGUUACCCGCUGAAUUUAAGCAUAUCAAUAAGCGGAGGA
rnacentral:misc_RNA from 1 species